AUGCCGGACUGCAACAUCCUUGAAGGGGUGGUCGUCCUUCAUGAAACACUCCAUGAAAUCCAUUCCAAGAAGUUAGAUGGUGUCAUUUUUAAGGUGGAUUUCGAGAAAGCGUACGAUAAGGUUAAAUGGCCCUUUCUCCAACAGGCAUUGCGUAUGAAAGGUUUUGAUGAAGCCUGGCGACGCCAGGUUGAAUCAUUUACGCAAAAAGGGAGUGUGGGAAUUAAAGUGAAUGACGAUAUUGGUCAUUACUUCCAGACACAUAAAGGCCUAAGACAAGGAGAUCCGAUGUCCCCUAUCUUGUUUAACAUUGUGGUUGAUAUGUUAGCCAUCUUGAUAGGAAGGGCUAAGGAGAAUGGUCAAGUGGGUGCCUUGGUACCUCAUCUGGUUGAUGGAGGUGUAUCCAUCCUUCAGUACGCUGAUGAUACAAUCAUCUUUAUGGAACAUGACCUGGCCAAGGCGAGAAAUAUGAAGCUGGUGUUAUGCCUUUUCGAACAAUUGACUGGGUUAAAGAUUAACUUUCAUAAGAGCGAGCUGUUCUGCUUUGGUAGAGCCAAAGACGAACAGGAAGCUUAG
rnacentral:rRNA from 1 species